rnacentral:rRNA from 1 species
GCUUGCUUCUCUUGAGAGCGGCGGACGGGUGAGUAAUGCCUAGGAAUCUGCCUGGUAGUGGGGGAUAACGUCCGGAAACGGACGCUAAUACCGCAUACGUCCUACGGGAGAAAGCAGGGGACCUUCGGGCCUUGCGCUAUCAGAUGAGCCUAGGUCGGAUUAGCUAGUUGGUGAGGUAAUGGCUCACCAAGGCGACGAUCCGUAACUGGUCUGAGAGGAUGAUCAGUCACACUGGAACUGAGACACGGUCCAGACUCCUACGGGAGGCAGCAGUGGGGAAUAUUGGACAAUGGGCGAAAGCCUGAUCCAGCCAUGCCGCGUGUGUGAAGAAGGUCUUCGGAUUGUAAAGCACUUUAAGUUGGGAGGAAGGGCAGUUGCCUAAUACGUAACUGUUUUGACGUUACCGACAGAAUAAGCACCGGCUAACUCUGUGCCAGCAGCCGCGGUAAUACAGAGGGUGCAAGCGUUAAUCGGAAUUACUGGGCGUAAAGCGCGCGUAGGUGGUUUGUUAAGUUGGAUGUGAAAUCCCCGGGCUCAACCUGGGAACUGCAUUCAAAACUGACUGACUAGAGUAUGGUAGAGGGUGGUGGAAUUUCCUGUGUAGCGGUGAAAUGCGUA